AAUGAGGCGCAAAUCACACAUGACUGCAGAAAUUAAAAAUUAAAGAGUCAACACAAGCAUUUUAAUAGUCCAGCCUCAAAGUUGACAUCGCAUUAGUGAGGAAAUGCUUAAUGGAAAGAAUAAAGAAAGGGAUUUAUUAACCAAACGCAACUGAAAAGGCAAAAAGAAAAAGAAAAAGGAAAAAAUACACAGAAAAAGGGAGGGCUGAGCUCUCUGUUUUACGCUUUUAUAUAUGCUCUGUGUCUCUCUCUCGCACGGUUUGCAUAUUUCCAGGUUAAUGAAGUUGCCUAAUCGAUCUCCAUUCAAUUCCCAAGAUUCCCAUAAACACGACCUCCUAAAUCCAAAAUCUCUCGUGUUUUCCUGCCCAUUCUAGGGUUUCUUACUUUGAUCAUAUUUGCCUUUACUUUGCUUGCCUAGGGGUUUUAAACCAACCAAACAAAGAAACUACAAAGAAAAAGAACCAAAAAAAAAAAAUGGUGUUUGGAGCUCGGGAACUCAGCUAAUCGAGUUCUUCUAUCUCUGAUUCUUAAUUAUCUAUAAGUAGUAGGUUGAUAUC
rnacentral:misc_RNA from 1 species